CACGUAGGGUGCGAGCGUUGUCCGGAAUUAUUGGGCGUAAAGAGCUCGUAGGCGGUGUGUCGCGUCGGCCGUGAAAACCUGCAGCUUAACUGUGGGCUUGCGGUCGAUACGGGCAUCACUGGAGUUCGGCAGGGGAGACUGGAAUUCCUGGUGUAGCGGUGAAAUGCGCAGAUAUCAGGAGGAACACCGAUGGGCGAAGGCAGGUCUCUGGGCCACUACUGACGCUGGAGAAGCGAAAGCAUGGGGAGCGAACAGG
rnacentral:rRNA from 1 species